AGCGAACGUUAGCGGCGGGCCUAACACAUGCAAGUCGAGGGAGAAAAGGGCUUCGGCCCUGAGUACACCGGCGGACGGGUGCGUAACACGUGGGUAACCUACCCUCCAGUGGGGGAUAACAGUCCGAAAGGAUUGCUAAUACCGCAUUCGUCGGCGGGGGCUUCGGCCCCUGCCGGGAAAGGCGACCUCUUCAUGAAAGUUGUCGCUGGAGGAUGGGCUCGCGUCCCAUCAGCUAGUUGGUGAGGUAACGGCUCACCAAGGCAUAGACGGGUAGCUGGUCUGAGAGGAUGAUCAGCCACACUGGGACUGAGACACGGCCCAGACUCCUACGGGAGGCAGCAGUGGGGAAUAUUGGGCAAUGGGCGAAAGCCUGACCCAGCCACGCCGCGUGAGUGAUGAAGGCCUUCGGGUCGUAAAGCUCUGUGGGGAGGGACGAAACCGUCGAGGGAAUAACACCCCUCGGCCUUGACGGUACCUCCUUAGCAAGCACCGGCUAACUCCGUGCCAGCCGCCGCAGUAAAAC
rnacentral:rRNA from 1 species